GACGAACGCUGGCGGCGUGCUUAACACAUGCAAGUCGAGCGGUAAGGCCCUUUCGGGGGUACACGAGCGGCGAACGGGUGAGUAACACGUGGGUGACCUGCCCUCAGCUCUGGGAUAAGCCUGGGAAACCGGGUCUAAUACCGGAUAUGACUCCAUGACGCAUGUUGUGGGGUGGAAAGCCUUGUGCGGCUGAGGAUGGGCCCGCGGCCUAUCAGCUUGUUGGUGGGGUGANGGCCUACCAAGGCGACGACGGGUAGCCGGCCUGAGAGGGCGACCGGCCACACUGGGACUGAGACACGGCCCAGACUCCUACGGGAGGCAGCAGUGGGGAAUCUUGCGCAAUGGGACGAAAGCCUGACGCAGCGACGCCGCGUGAGGGAUGACGGCCU
rnacentral:rRNA from 1 species